GGUCCGCUGGCUCAAUGGCAGAGCGUCUGACUACGAUCUCAACGACGAGAAGUUAUCAGGAGGUUCCAGGUUCGACCCCUGGGUGGAUCG